GGGGAAUAUUGCACAAUGGAGGGAACUCUGAUGCAGCGACGCCGCGUGAGUGAAGAAGGUCUUCGGAUCGUAAAACUCUGUCCUUGGUGAAGAAAAGGACGGUAGCCAAGGAGGAAGCCCCGGCUAACUACGUGCCAGCAGCCGCGGUAAUACGUAGGGGGCGAGCGUUGUCCGGAUUUACUGGGCGUAAAGGGUGAGUAGGCGGUUAUAUAUGUCAGGUGUAAAAAGCUAUGGCUUAACCAUAGUAAGCACUUGAAACUGUAUGACUUGAGUGCAGGAGAGGUAAGCGGAAUUCCUAGUGUAGCGGUGAAAUGCGUAGAUAUUAGGAGGAACACCGGUGGCGAAGGCGGCUUACUGGACUGUAACUGACGCUGAGUCACGAAAGCGUGGGGAGCAAAC
rnacentral:rRNA from 1 species